UCGCACCAACCCCCGCCUUCUGAGUUUCCAUUUUACAGGAUAGGCUGCCUGCUCCUCACUUCGCCAGUCCUCCUCCGUCCCUCGCCGCGAUCAUCCGGCUGCGCCUCCGCGCGUUUGGUUUACUUCGGAGCAGCACAGUUCGACCGUAUUGGUACAUUAACAUCAGAAUUCCAAUUUUGAUGAGAAUUUAGAUACUAUUUUUUUGAGUCUAACAACUACUGCUUAAGUAACGGCUACUACACAUUCGAUUAAAUCGAGAAGAAGAUGCUGCUGCUACGGUUUCCGCUCUUCUUCUCGUGGUUGUUGCUGCUUUGUGUUUCGUUGAUCGGCGGAUCAGAGGCCUCUCUUCCGUCCAGAGAUCUUCUCGGAAUCUCGCCUCAAGAUGAGACGUACUAUAAAGGAUUGUCAUCCGGAGCUGCCAUAAAAUGUAAAAACGGAUCCAACAAAUUCACGCCGGCUCAGCUCAAUGAUGAUUUCUGCGAUUGUCCUGAUGGCUCGGAUGAGCCAGGAACCUCAGCAUGUCCCAAUGGCAAGUUUUAUUGCCGGAAUGCUGGACAUAUGCCCCUCCUUAUAAAUUCCUCGAUGGUUAAUGAUGGCAUCUGCGAUUGCUGUGAUGGGAGUGAUGAGUAUGGUGGCAAAACUAAGUGCCCGGAUAUGUGUUGGGAGGUUGGCAAGGUGACUAGAGAUAAGUUAAAGAAAAGAAUUGCAAUAUUUCAGGAAGGUGUUAUUAUAAGGAAGCAGGAAGUUGAACAAGCAAAACUAGCGAUUUUGAAGGAGGAAGCAGAACUAGCAAAGCUAACAAAAGAGGAGAAGAUACUUAAAGAUAUAGUUGAGCAGUUGAAAGAGCACAAGGAACAGAUAGAAGAGGCUGAGGAAAAAGAACGAAUGCAAAGAGAAAAGGAGAAGGAAAAGAAAGAAGCUGAUGAAGCUAAGUUGGAGGUAACCAAAACUGGGGAGAAUUAUCUUGAAGAAGCUGAAAAUGCGAAGGAUGGCAUCCAUAGCAAGAUUCCCUCUGAGGAUGCUCCUGCUUUAGAGAAUGUGGUAGAAGAUCAUAGCAGUAAAGUGGACAAAGUUGAUAAGAGUGACAUUUCAAUAAUGGAUGAAACCCCUGGUGAUGAUGUAGGCAGGGUGAUAGAGGACUCCCCCAAGCAUGCUAUGAUAGAAGAGGGGUCGUCUGCAAGUGAAAAUAAAGCUGAUCUUAGGAGCAGUGAGGUGAAAGAUGCUACUGAAAAUACUGAGUCCUUGUCAAGGGAAGAGUUGGGCCGUGUUGUUGGUUCUCGUUGGACAGGAAAGAAGGCUGAGCAGGAAACAGGGGAGGCCAAGGCUAAUAAAGAUGAUCAUGGUGACCAUGAUGAAGAAUACAAUAUGUAUGAUUCAGAAGCUGACACUGAAGAUCAAAUGGAUGAGGAAGAUCAUGAUUCAAGUUCAUCGUCAUUAUUAUCUGAUGAUGAUACUGACGAUCAUGGGGAUGAUUUUGAAGGGGAAGAUCACGAUUCAAGUUCAUCAUCAGAUGAUGAACUGGAUUUAUCAGAUAUAACUAGCACAAGCAAUCCACCUUGGCUGGAGAAGAUAAAAAGAAAUGCUCAGAAGAUUUUUAAGACUUUUAAAUUGUUCCAAACUCCAGUAGACAUAUCUGAGGCUGCACGUGUACGCAAAGAAUAUAAUGGUUCAACUGCCAAGUGGACAAAAAUUCAGUCAAGAAUAUCUAAGUUGACAAGGAAGCUAAAGCGUGAUUUUGGGCCAGAGAAGGAAUUCUAUUCAUUCCAUGGUCAAUGUUUUGAAAUCAAGCAAAACAAGUACACAUACAAGAUUUGCCCUUUCAAAAAGGCCACACAAGUUGAUGAGUAUAGUACAACUUAUUUGGGGAAUUGGGAUAAAUUUGAGGACUCAUACAGAACCAUGCAAUUUUCAAAUGGAGAUAAUUGCUGGAAUGGGCCAGAUAGGAGUCUAAAGGUCAAACUAAGAUGUGGGUUGAAAAACGAGGUAAAUAGUGUAGAUGAGCCUAGCCGGUGCGAAUAUCUUGCAGUUUUAUCUACACCAGCUCUCUGUUCAGAAGAAAAGCUAAAGGAACUCGAAGAUAAACUAAAGAUGCUGGACAGGGAGCUACCACAAGGAACACAAGGUCACGAUGAACUGUGAAGGAUUUGUUUGAAAAAAAAAAAAAAACAUUUUUUUUUGAGGCAUACAAAGCUAGAAAAGCGUCGUCAAUUGCCUGAGCUUGAAUUGAAAAGGAGGGGGGGGAGUGAAGAAGAAUUAUACAUUUAGAUGGUAAAAGUAUAAGAGUCGCGUGAUCUUCAAGAAAAGCCAGUGCCCGACGGCGAAAUCCGAGAUAAUACACGUGACUUCACCACAUUAUCAUUAUCAGCUUUAUGUUUACUGUGUACGGAACUAUAGAGAGCAAAUCUAUUGAUGGAUCAAGAGAGAAAAA